rnacentral:ncRNA from 12 species
UCUUUUCAGGUCUGUGGUUGCGAAGUUCUCUGUGAGCUUUUAGUCCAUGACAGACGAGGUCAAAGGGAUCCACGUAAGUUUGCGUGUGUGCACGCAAACGAUCAUGGCUCGUCCUAGAAGUAAGCCAUACCGCCUGUUAUAUCACAAAGAGACAAAGGGUCUCGCAGGCGAGAGAACUACUAGUGGAGCUGCUGCGGUAGCAAAGCAAACGUUCCAGUAUGCGAGUGUGGGGUCAAAUACCAGGUCAGCUGAAAAGA